UCGGCGUGCUUAACACAUGCAAGUCGAACGGAAAGGCCCUGCUUUUGUGGGGUGCUCGAGUGGCGAACGGGUGAGUAACACGUGAGUAACCUGCCCUUGACUUUGGGAUAACUUCAGGAAACUGGGGCUAAUACCGGAUAGGAGCUCCUGCUGCAUGGUGGGGGUUGGAAAGUUUCGGCGGUUGGGGAUGGACUCGCGGCUUAUCAGCUUGUUGGUGGGGUAGUGGCUUACCAAGGCUUUGACGGGUAGCCGGCCUGAGAGGGUGACCGGCCACAUUGGGACUGAGAUACGGCCCAGACUCCUACGGGAGGCAGCAGUGGGGAAUAUUGCACAAUGGGCGGAAGCCUGAUGCAGCAACGCCGCGUGCGGGAUGACGGCCUUCGGGUUGUAAACCGCUUUCGCCUGUGACGAAGCGUGAGUGACGGUAAUGGGUAAAGAAGCACCGGCUAACUACGUGCCAGCAGCCGCGGUGAUACGUAGGGUGCGAGCGUUGUCCGGAUUUAUUGGGCGUAAAGGGCUCGUAGGUGGUUGAUCGCGUCGGAAGUGUAAUCUUGGGGCUUAACCCUGAGCGUGCUUUCGAUACGGGUUGACUUGAGGAAGGUAGGGGAGAAUGGAAUUCCUGGUGGAGCGGUGGAAUGCGCAGAUAUCAGGAGGAACACCAGUGGCGAAGGCGGUUCUCUGGGCCUUUCCUGACGCUGAGGAGCGAAAGCGUGGGGAGCGAACAGGCUUAGAUACCCUGGUAGUCCACGCUGUAAACGGUGGGUACUAGGUGUGGGGUCCAUUCCACGGGUUCCGUGCCGUAGCUAACGCUUUAAGUACCCCGCCUGGGGAGUACGGCCGCAAGGCUAAAACUCAAAGGAAUUGACGGGGCCCCGCACAAGCGGCGGAGCAUGCGGAUUAAUUCGAUGCAACGCGUAGAACCUUACCUGGGUUUGACAUGGAUCGGGAGUGCUCAGAGAUGGGUGUGCCUCUUUUGGGGUCGGUUCACAGGUGGUGCAUGGCUGUCGUCAGCUCGUGUCGUGAGAUGUUGGGUUAAGUCCCGCAACGAGCGCAACCCUUGUUCACUGUUGCCAGCACGUUAUGGUGGGGACUCAGUGGAGACCGCCGGGGUCAACUCGGAGGAAGGUGGGGAUGACGUCAAGUCAUCAUGCCCCUUAUGUCCAGGGCUUCACGCAUGCUACAAUGGCUGGUACAGAGAGUGGCGAGCCUGUGAGGGUGAGCGAAUCUCGGAAAGCCGGUCUCAGUUCGGAUUGGGGUCUGCAACUCGACCUCAUGAAGUCGGAGUCGCUAGUAAUCGCAGAUCAGCAACGCUGCGGUGAAUACGUUCCCGGGGCUUGUACACACCGCCCGUCAAGUCAUGAAAGUUGGUAACACCCGAAGCCGGUGGCCUAACCGUUGUGGGGGAGCCGUCGAAGGUGGGACUGGUGAUUA
rnacentral:rRNA from 1 species